UCCAGUAUGGUGUAACGGCUAACAUUGUCGCCUUUCAAAUUUGCUUACGUAAUGCUUACGUAAGCUGAUUCGCGACGGCUCAGGGUUCGACCCCCUGUACUGGAG